GCGAGAUUAACUCGCGACCAUGAACUUAUGGCUCACGAACGUGCCAUUGCUGCUUCUAGGGAUGCUGCUAUUAUUUCUUUUUUGCAGAAGAUUACUGGUCAGACUGUACAGUUACCCACAACUGUCACUGUCUCCGCUGCUCCACCUCCACCGACACAACCAGCCGUGCCAGUUGUUCCACCUCCGGCUUCUAUUCCUACAGCAGCUUCACCAUUGCAUCAUCCACCGUCAUUACCACAACAACAGCGUAGCUCUCAACAGCAGCAACAGUCAGUACAGCCGCACCAUCAACAUCAGCAACAGCCACAAGCUGUUCACCAGCAGCAGCAU
rnacentral:lncRNA from 1 species